UACGUAGGGUGCAAGCGUUAAUCGGAAUUACUGGGCGUAAAGCGUGCGCAGGCGGUUAUGUAAGACAGUUGUGAAAUCCCCAGGCUCAACCUGGGAACUGCAUCUGUGACUGCAUAGCUAGAGUACGGUAGAGGGGGAUGGAAUUCCGCGUGUAGCAGUGAAAUGCGUAGAUAUGCGGAGGAACACCGAUGGCGAAGGCAAUCCCCUGGACCUGUACUGACGCUCAUGCACGAAAGCGUGGGGAGCGAACAGG
rnacentral:rRNA from 1 species